GGCGAUUCUGGCCGAUAUGGACAGGACAAGAAUUUUCUCCAUUCUGGUUACCCUGCUGAUGGGGGGGCUGAUCAUCUGGCUGAUCGCUU
rnacentral:tRNA from 1 species